rnacentral:rRNA from 1 species
AUUGAACGCUGGCGGCAGGCCUAACACAUGCAAGUCGAGCGGUAGAGAGGUGCUUGCACCUCUUGAGAGCGGCGGACGGGUGAGUAAUGCCUAGGAAUCUGCCUGGUAGUGGAGGAUAACGCUCGGAAACGGACGCUAAUACCGCAUACGUCCUACGGGAGAAAGCAGGGGACCUUCGGGCCUUGCGCUAUCAGAUGAGCCUAGGUCGGAUUAGCUAGUUGGUGAGGUAAUGGCUCACCAAGGCGACGAUCCGUAACUGGUCUGAGAGGAUGAUCAGUCACACUGGAACUGAGACACGGUCCAGACUCCUACGGGAGGCAGCAGUGGGGAAUAUUGGACAAUGGGCGAAAGCCUGAUCCAGCCAUGCCGCGUGUGUGAAGAAGGUCUUCGGAUUGUAAAGCACUUUAAGUUGGGAGGAAGGGUCGUUACCUAAUACGUGACGAUUUUGACGUUACCGACAGAAUAAGCACCGGCUAACUCUGUGCCAGCCGCCGCAGUAAAAC